GAAUUUGGAACCGAAUUUGGAACCGAACUUGGAACCGAAUUUGGAACUGAAUUUAGCAACUUAAAGCGUUACGCAACAAGCAACAUAAUAAUUAACAGAACAAAAAACGUGGAAAAUAUUGGGACGAGUAAUAUGGUAAAUUGCAAAACAAACAGAAUAAACUCAAACAUUAACAUGGAUCCUUAUUUGAAUAGUAACAAAAAGAAUAUUAAUAAUAGUUUAAAUUUAAAAAAUAAUAGAGAAGAUUUGUAUGCACAUAAAUCUGAUAAUAACAAUAUUUUUUUGUUUCUCCUACGUUUAAUAAAACAAAAGAAAAUGAUUAUAAAGGUACACAUAUAAAUAUUACAGAUAAAGUAAAAUAUAUAGUAAGAGAAAAUAUGAAAACAGGAAAUAUUGUUUUAAUAAAACCAACAGUUAAUAAUAAUAAUAAUAAUAACAAUGUUAGUGACAUAAAUAACAGAGCUAAUAACAUUAAAUUCAAUAACAUAUCAACUAAUACAAAUCGUUUAAAUAAUGUUAAUAAAGUGUUAAGUAUAAAUAAUAGUAACAAUUAUAAUGACUUGAUAAAAUGUAACAACAGAUUAAAUAUACAAACUAGUUUUAACAAUAAUCUUAUAAAUAAUAUAAAACAUCAUACACAUGCAGAAAAUUAUGUAAAUGGAGCAAGUGAUGUUAUACAUACUGGUUUACAGAAAAAGGAAAACACAAGUAAUAAUAAUUCUUUUCCUACUGAUGCUACUACAACUAAUAUUAAUUAUAAUAGUAAUAGUUAUAUAAAUGGAAAUAUUCUAAAUAGUAGCAUUUCUAGUAGUAAUUAUGAAGGAGAUGGUAUAUAUAAUAACAACAGAAGUAUUAGUACGAAAAAAAACGUUGCAGUACAAGCAUUAUUAAUAAAUCAUAAAAAUAACAACAAUGAACCAUAUUUUUCGCAAAUGUUCAUACCAUAUAAACAAGUUGUAAAUAAAGAGAACAUAAAUAUGUUUGAUAAAAAAAGUAUGUUUGAUAAAAAAAGUGUGUUUGAUAAAAAAAGUGUGUUUGAUAAAAGAAAUAUGUUUGACGAAAAAAAUUACAAUUGUGAAAAUUGUAGUCAAACAAAAGAUCAUAAUUUUAAUACUAUCACUAAUACUACUACUUCAGAAAAUUAUAAAAAUGUUAAUAUAAAGAAUUCAUACUUACCUAAAAAAUAUACAGAUUUAUCGUAUAAUAAUGAUAAACAAAAAAAACAAGUAGUAAAAAUAUAUAACAACCAUUGUGAUAAUUAUCCUUUAGUUAAUAAUGUUUUGAAAUUUAAGGAAAAGGAAAAAUUCAACGUUCCUGUUUCGGCUCCUGUUUCGGCUCCUAUUUCGGCUCCUAUUUCGGCUCCUAUUUCGGCUCCUAUUUCGGCUCCUAUUUCGGAUUCGGCUCCUACCACCACUAACACGAACGUAAAACCAAACUACAUUAUCAAACACAAAAUACCAUCAUUCAAUACAAGUAUCAGUAAUAACGUAAACAACAAUUUAACAAAAAGAAAUAUAACUUGUGACAUAUAUAAUAAUAAAAAGCAAAUAACUUCAAAUUAUAUACACCAAAAUGUACAUAUAAAAAACGAAAAUAAACCGAUCGAUAUAAAUCCCAUAUACGAUAAAAAUAAUAUAAUUAAUACUUUUUUUAUUAAAAAUAUAGAAAAAAAGGAUAAAAGUGUAAUUAAUAUGAACACCAUGCACAGUUCUUUACAGCAAAAGGGAUUCCCAACUGAAUACUCAAAUGUAUGUUUAGACAGAUUGGAACAGUUUAAUAACAAUAUGAACAAUGUUAACAAUAUUUACGACAACAUUCAAAAUAAAAUAAAUAAAGAAGAUAACAAUGUAAAUAAUGUUAAGAAUAAACAUAUCAGUGGUUGGGUUGAUAGAAACCAUAAAAGCAUAACAGUAAACAUGAACAAAUUUAAUAACACUUUAAGUACGUCUCGAAAAAACACAUAUACUUAUAACAACACAUUAAGUAAAAACAAUUUAUUAAAUUUAGGUAUAUAUAAUAACAGAUAUAUAUUUAAACCUGUUAAUAAUAAUUCUAUACUAGCAAAAAAUAAAACAUUAACUAAAAAUUUGAACCCAUUUAUAAGAUCACAUGACCAUAUUAACAAUAAUGUAGUACCAAACGUAAAAAAUACAUACCAACAUACAGUUAACAAAACCAAUGUAUGUGUUAGUACUAUGCCUAAUUUAACUACGUGUAGUAAUACAUACAAUGUUUUUAUAAAAUCAAAAACGGAAAAUAAAAAAGAGGAAGUUAUAGCAACAUUACCAACCAAUGUUUUAUCAACCACUGCAUUACCAACCAAAGUGUUACCAACCAAUGAGAAAUCAACUACAAAGAAACAAACUAUUAUUUAUACAGAUAAAAAUAAAGACAAAAUGUUAGAACGAGUAAACAAUGAUAAUAUAUGUGACGAUAUACAAAAUACACAUAUAAGAGUAUAUACAAAUAGAUAUCGCACAGCUUCUUAUAGAAACAGUAACAUAAAUAAUAUAAAAAAUAAUUCUAUAUUAACAGAGAAAAGGGAUGGAAAAAGUAAUACAGUAUCGAUAACGAUGCAUACGAAAAAUGAUGAUACUUUAGAGAAUUGGAAUAAGGUUGUAACGACUGAUAGUAAAGUAGAAAAAUUGAUUGAAGAUAGAAUAAAUAAUACAUUAGGAACAAUGACAGGGAUUAUAAAUAACAGAAGAAUGACAAAAACAACAAGUUUUACAUGUCUAAACCAUAUAAAAGAAAAUACUAGUAUUCCAUUGGAAGAAAAAAAAAAUAUUAUAAAAAAAGCAGUAGUAAUCGGAUGUAAUUAUAUGAGUGAUAUAAAAAAAAACAGAUUGUUUGGAGCUGUAAAUGAUGCUUAUAUAUUUAGCAAGAUGUUAAUUAAAUACUUUGGUUUUUGUCCAGAAAAUAUUUUAUUAUUAAUAGAUUCAUCCCCUGCUAAUGCAUAUAUAGAUAAAGAAGUAAAUACUACCACUAAAAGAAAUAAUUUUUCAAAAAAAAAAAAUAAUUGUUAUAAUAGUAUGGAAAAAAGUAAUAAUAAUAAUAAUAUCGAUAAUAAUGAUGAUAUAGAAGAAUAUACAUUUAGUGAUAGUUGUAAUAGUGAUAACAACUAUAGUGGUGAUACAAACAAUAAUGAGAAAUAUAAGAAUAAAAUAGAAUUAAAAAAAAAAAAAUCGUUUUUACAUUUUUUUAAUAUAAAUAAUAUGUACGAAAAAAUGAAAAAUAAUAGUAAAAUAUAUGAGAAUACUUGUAAUUCUUGUGCAGAUAUAAAAAUCCAAAAAAUUGAUUUAACACAUAAAAAAAUUAAUUAUAAUUUAUGGCCUACAAGAAUAAAUAUAUUAAAAGCUGCAAAUUGGUUGGUGCGAGAUUCAGUACCGAAUGGAUCUUAUGUAUUUUUUUUUGCUGGUAAAAGUAUUCAAGUAGAUGAUAUGAGUGGAUGGGAAGGAGAAGGUUAUGACGAAGCAUUUCUUUGUUCUGACCCACAUAAUAAAGAAAAUGAAAAAAAUAUAUUAACAACUGUUCAAUUAAAAGAUAUAUUACUUAGUAUAAAUAUAAGUGCACAAAUGACCAUUAUAUUAGAUUGUUCUGGUUGUCAAACUAUAUUAAAUCCUGCAGGAACUGAAAAAUCUUUGUCUUAUAUUAAAGGAUGUAAGCAAAAAGGAAUAUGGCCACUAACAAAUCCAACAAAUAAAAUGCAUAAAGCUAUAUAUAAUAAAAAAAUAUUAAAUAGUCGUAGUAUGGAAAAAUAUUUUUGUAAAUGUAGAUACUCAGAAUUGAUAGAGGUAGAUUCAACAUCUGCUAUGGUUGAUCCUUUGUUACAAUCAGCUUGUUCCUUACCAGUAGCUCCCAAAGCAUAUUGUUUAUGUGCAGCUACCUGGGAACAAAUCUCAAUAGAAGGUUUAUUUCCAAUUAUGGAGUUUGCAAAAGUACACCAAGUGGAUAUAGUUAAUACUUUGUAUUAUAAUGUAACUAAAAAAAUUAUGGAACUACAAGAAAAAAAAAUAAAUAACUUAUCAAAUAUACAAAUAAAUAAUCUACCAAAUAUGCAAAUAAAUAACUUAUCANNNNNNNNNNCUACCAAAUAUGCAAAUAAAUAACUUAUCAGAUAUACAAAUAAAUAACUUAUCAGAUAUACA
ensembl:lncRNA